rnacentral:rRNA from 1 species
AUUGAACGCUGGCGGCAUGCCUUACACAAGCAAGUCGAACGGCAGCACGGGAGCAAUCCUGGUGGCGAGUGGCGAACGGGUGAGUAAUAUAUCGGAACGUGCCCAGUCGUGGGGGAUAACGUAGCGAAAGCUACGCUAAUACCGCAUACGAUCUAAGGAUGAAAGCGGGGGAUUCGCAAGAACCUCGCGCGAUUGGAGCGGCUGAUAUCAGAUUAGGUAGUUGGUGAGGUAAAGGCUCACCAAGCCGACGAUCUGUAGCUGGUCUGAGAGGACGACCAGCCACACUGGAACUGAGACACGGUCCAGACUCCUACGGGAGGCAGCAGUGGGGAAUUUUGGACAAUGGACGCAAGUCUGAUCCAGCCAUUCCGCGUGCAGGAUGAAGGCCCUCGGGUUGUAAACUGCUUUGUACGGAACGAAAAGGUUUGUCUUAAUACGAUGAGCUCAUGACGGUACCGUAAGAAUAAGCACCGGCUAACUACGUG